ACCGACAGAAACUAGAGGUGCCAAAAGUACCACAAGGUCAAUUGGGAGAAUAACCAGUUACAGUGAACCAGGGACCUUCAGAACUGCUGAACCUAAUAAGCAUGAUAACAACAGCCCUUUAUCAGAUGACAAUAAUGCAGUUAAACCUUGUGACAGGACGCAGGUCUCCUGUGCACCUUCUCCUCACUUCUGAUCUUCCCGCUGACAGAAACUGUUGGCUGAAAAUGGACCGCCCUGUCAACGCUAAUCAGAUAUCUGCCAACAAUCAAGAUGAGCUCACAGGACAGGCAUCUCAGAAAAUCAAGCUGGACAGGCCGUAGAAGCUAUCUUCAUCUGAAGGAUGAUGGUCAGAAUGACAGGAUUUUAGUCUCAAUAGGCGUGACUGAGUCGUCAAAACCGACAUAUAGUGACGCUCUCACUGUUUGCUUUCUUCAUUGCAAAUAAAGUGGAUUAGAUAUAAUAUUUGUCAGCUAAACAGACAUUUGAAUUUUAAAUGUAGAAAAUAAAAACAUUU